GUCCCUGUAUCGCAAUGGAUAGCGUAAUGAACUUCUAAUCCAUAGGUAGUGGAUUCAAAUCCCACCUGGGAUG